UACAGAGGGGGCAAGCGUUGUUCGGAAUUACUGGGCGUAAAGGGCGUGUAGGCGGCCUGUUAAGUCGAACGUGAAAUCCCCGGGCUCAACCCGGGAACUGCGUCCGAUACUGGCAGGCUUGAAUCCGGGAGAGGGAUGUGGAAUUCCAGGUGUAGCGGUGAAAUGCGCAGAUAUCAGGAGGAACACCAAUGGCGAAGGCAGCUCGCUGGGACGGUACUGACGCUGAGACGCGAAAGCGUGGGGAGCAAACAGG
rnacentral:rRNA from 1 species